AGCAGCUAUGCUAAUGAUGUCUCUGUUUCUGCUGGGAUCUUCAUCCCGUGGUAACUAGGAUUUACACAAGCUCCAGUCUGGAUCCAGAACACCUGAGAAGAGAUGAUGCUGACCCUCAGAGGACUGCAGAUGAUGCUAACCCAGAGACAACAUACAGAACUUCCACAUUUUGUGCCAUCAAAAUAAAAGUCCCGCCUCGAACACAUCAGCCAAGCAGAAUAACUUAUCAGCUGAUGCCGAUAUUUGAAAAAUUGGCCUUGGUGAUAUAUCGGUCGAUCACUACAGGUAAUCUGGGGAAAAUCAUUGUUUAAUUUACAGCAUCAUUUACUCUUACCAGACUCGUGCAGGAUUCUUGCUCUAUGUCUGGUCCACCCUUUUUCUGGCUGUGGUGCCUCCAUUGUCCUAACACUCUUCAGCAACCUGUCAAGAUCUUUAUAUGGUGGCCACCAGGACUUGGCAGCUGGUCCAGUCGUCCCUUCUCCCUCAAACUCCACGAUUAGAAAUCAACUGUUGUUGAGAGGUCAUCCACUAAAUGAAUGCCAAGUGUAGAGGAUGGCAGUGGAUAGUCAAAAAAGGAUUCCUGGUGGUUGAAGAGUGUGUUGGCUUGUUCUCAACUCUUUAUAUUGUGCAUCAUGGAAGGAUGCAGGAUGCAGGAAGAGGACCAGUCGCAUGUGGUUUUUCGAGCAGAUGUGGCCUGGUUUUGCAUUUCUGAGAGUCUUUUUAUUAUUUGACUGAGUGGGCAUGUUGGUUUCCUCAGAAGUCUUUUGAGUUUGUUUAGGUGAUUCUCAUACUUGAAAGCACUGAAGUUGUCAAGGACACCAUGCUUUUUCGCAUCAUCUGCAAGAUGUACAAGGCAGAGUGCAUUGUAGGACAAGAAUUGUGGACCAUACAGUUGACCAAAGUGAGAGACAACGAGCACCACCUACAAGUCAGAGGACCCAUCUUCAGCCACAAGAGAAGAAGCUGUCUCAUGAUGGUGCAUGUAGUCGAGGGGGAAACCAGAGACCAUGUUUAGGGAUGUUUCUUCAAGAGUGUCUCUAGGAUGGGCCAGAACUGUGUUGCUGAGCUCUUAUAGAGUGGCAAACCAUCAAUGCUGACCUGAAGCUCAAAACGUGUGAAUGUUGCGCAGAAUGUCAACAAAUGUUGAGCAAUGAAUUCAAUGCCACAUGUGUAAUUUUGUGUUCAGUAGCCCAGGAUGCCAAAUCAUCAUCUAAUGAAUUUGGAUCUGAUUCUGAUUCUGUGUCUGAUUCACUGUCAUCAGGAACACAUCUUCAGUCUCAUCAACAUGAGAGAGACAGUCCAUGAAUGUAUCUUCAUCAUCAUUUUGACCUUGAAUGGUUUUACUGUGCAUCCAACCCAAUUCUUUCCCCCAAGUUGUUGCCUGUAUUGUCUGCAGUUGCUGAUCCACCUUGUCCUUUGCUUUCCGUCUCAGUGUCCAAUAGGAUGGUUCAUUUGAAGCCAUAGUAUUAAGACCUUAAUACAAACAACCCUAUUUUUUGUUUUUUGUUUACUGGCCUACCAAGUCAUAUGCAUUAACAUAAUGUACAUACCUUUAGUUGGUUGACGGAUGGUAAUGGAUAACUUUCUGUAGUCAAAUUAAACAAAGGAAAU